AUGAUGAGGGUUCUAGUAGUCCUACGUCAGUUUCUUUUAAGACCAAGAAAGUGGAAGGUGUGAGAGUGGGAAUUCAGGGAAAACUAGCUCUUUACCUUAUCAUCCCAUUUCUGAGCAUAAAAAGUUUUUGAGUGGUUCGAUAAUACUGGAUAAUGGUUUUUCUCCUACGGAAGUUACACAUGAAGGAGACAGCCAAAAAAUAAGCCGAGAGGAACUAUGGUGGCUCAUUGUUGUAUUGAAACAGGACAGAUGCAAGUAACUGUCAGAGGAUACAUCAAGAGCAGUGGUCCAACACAAGGGAAGCUUUAAAGUUAUUUAAGCAAUCUGAGCCCCAAUGUAUAUUUGCAUUAGGGGGAGUUGAUUUUGAAGUGAUCCAUUAGUGUUGUGUUGCUUCCUAAAGAAACUCAAGGGUGAGAACACGUGCUUCCAUCGUAAACGGCCGCUUAGAGCUUGGUAAUGUCAUCUUAGAGAAAAUCUCUGCUGUCCUUUGAGUGUG